rnacentral:rRNA from 1 species
AUACAGAGGGUGCAAGCGUUAAUCGGAUUUACUGGGCGUAAAGCGCGCGUAGGUGGCUAAUUAAGUCAAAUGUGAAAUCCCCGAGCUUAACUUGGGAAUUGCAUUCGAUACUGGUUAGCUAGAGUAUGGGAGAGGAUGGUAGAAUUCCAGGUGUAGCGGUGAAAUGCGUAGAGAUCUGGAGGAGUACCGAUGGCGAAGGCAGCCAUCUGGCCUAAUACUGACACUGAGGUGCGAAAGCAUGGGGAGCAAACAGGAUUAGAUACCCUGGUAGGCCAUGCCGUAAACGAUGUCUACUAGCCGUUGGGGCCCUUGAGGCUUUAGUGGCGCAGCUAACGCGAUAAGUAGACCGCCUGGGGAGUACGGUCGCAAGACUAAAACUCAAAUGAAUUGGCGGGG